rnacentral:rRNA from 1 species
AAAGGGUAACGGGAGACGGGGCCUAAGGCGUAGACGUCGGUAGUGACUGGGGNG